rnacentral:rRNA from 1 species
CUUAUAGCUAAAUCUCUCUAUGAUACUCGUUGGGAUAGUCGGAUAAAGAGUGUUCAAGCUAUUAGAUAUCAAGUGCCUCAGUUAAGAAAAGCUAUAUUGGAGUUGCAGAGAACUUCUAAUGAUGACCCCAAAACUAAGAGUGAUGCAAAAUCUUUGGUUACUGCACUUGGAAAUUUUGAAUUCUUAGUUGGCAUGGUCAUUUGGCACGAUAUUUUAUUUACUAUCAAAAUGGUCAGUAAGAAGUUGCAGUCUGAGUUUAUGAAGUACCGAAAUGACGGCUUUACAUCCAGUGUGAACAUUGCAAAAUCUAUUGCAUCUGACAUGGAUAUAGACCCUGUAUUUCCUGUAAAAUGUCAUGUUAUCAGAAAAAAGCACUUUGAUGAAACUAAUGGCAGCAAAGAAAAUAAUCAAAUGGAAGAAGCGCAAGCAGUUGCAGAGGAAUCAUUUCAAGUAAAAUACUUCCUGGUGAUGAUAGAUGUUGCAAUUAAUUCCCUGACCACCAGAUUUGAUGAUCUUAUGUCAUUUGGGAGUAUAUUUGGCUUCUUAUUCAACUCUAAAAAAUUGAAAUCCUUGGAUGAUAAUGACCUGAGAAGAUGUUGCGCUAAUUUUGCAAAGACUUUUUCUCAUGACAACUCAGCAGAUGUUGACUUGGAUGAUUUUGUUUCUGAACUGAAAGUGUUGCAAAUGACAUUGCCAAAUACAGUCAGGUCAGCAGAUCAGAUAUUUGAGUUUGUUAGAGCUGCAGAUUGCUAUCCAAACGUGUCAACUGCUUACCGAAUUCUCUUAACUAUGCAUGUGACGGUAGCAUCAGGUGAACGAAGUUUUUUAAAAUUGAAGUUGUUGAAAAAUUAUUUGAGGUCAACUAUGUCGCAAGAAAGAUUGAAUGGAUUGGCAAUAUGUUGUAUUGAGAAGGAUGUGUUGGAUAACAUUGAUCUUGAUACUGUCGUUAAUGAUUUUGCAUCAAAAAAUGCACGAAGGAGCCGUUUCUCAUGA